GACGAACGCUGGCGGCGUGCCUAAUACAUGCAAGUCGAACGCAGUGGGGACGGGUGAGUAACACGUGGGUAACCUCCCAUCAGAGGGGAUAACACUUGGAAACAGGUGCUAAACCGAUACUGAUGGAUGGACCCGCGGGGCAUUAGCUAGUUGGUGAGGUCACGGCUCACCAAGGCCACGAUGCAUAGCCGAGCUGAGAGGGCGAUCGGCCACACUGGGACUGAGACACGGCCCAGACGCCUAGGGGAGGCAGCAGGAGGGAAUCUUGGGCAAUUGACGAAAGUCUGACCGAGCAACGCCGCGUGGGUGAAUAAGGUUUGCGGAUCGUAAAACUCUGUUGUUAGAGAAGCGGUAUCUAACGAGAAAGCCACGGCUAACUACGUGCCAGCAGCCGCGGUAAUUC
rnacentral:rRNA from 1 species